ACACUGAUAUCACUAUAGAUCAGUAUCACAAAUACAAGGUUAAUUUAGAGUAAAUGGCAUACUGUUCUGAUCAAGAACUUGAUGACUAGUUUACAGUCAUAAACUCUUCUCUUGUUCAGAAACAAGAAGAUUGUGCUGACAUGGGUGUUGAUGCAUACAUAUUUUCCAUUGCAUGGCCUCAGCUUAUCCCGGGUAAGGCCAUGCAUCAUAUGUUGAAGUAUGUGUCUUGCAAAUACUAGCUGGCACUUCAGCAAUUUGCUGAUUUGUGAUACAUGAAGAUGGGUAAGGAGCUAUCAAUCUCAAGGGGCUAGAGUAGUACAACAAUCUUGGAAUUCCAUCAAUAUUGUUGCCAUUGUCUGCACUAUAGCAUGCAAGAGGGCAGGAGACACAACUAUGACAAGCCCGAACAUGAUUCAUGUCCCAGGUCUUGUAAUGAUCCGUUGAGUAUUUCUACAUUGAGAUUGGUUUACAUCACCAUCACCUUCGUUCGAGUGUGGCAUGCUCACGACUUCCCAGGCGACGGAGCGUUGCCCACCGUUGAAGACGACCAAACCUGGACAGGUGUCCGUCACUUAUAAAGUUUCCACGGAGUAUCUUUUCCUCAAUACAAUAAAAGUAGGCUACUUAUAGUGCUAGAAGGAACAUGCAUGAAAGUUGGCGGUCUUCAGCUUCCUUGUUGUAGCAGUUUCAAUACAGGAAUCCGCCUCGCAAGAUGUCUAUAAGAUGUGAGGCCCCAAGAGGGGCACCGUGAGAUUCGUCGGCAGAGUGGAAUCCCCCGGAGAGAGCUGUUUGAAGACGAUGGGAUGUAGGUGUGCAUUGUUUCGGCCUCCCUCUGCGCUCUAGGCCAGGAGUUGUAAUGGUGGCCCACAGUUUCCUUUGGCAUGUUUGUUACUUGACAAUGUUUUCUCUGUUUGGUUAAAGUUGCGAGCCAAGCUGGAAUGUUUAUAUACUCCCUCCGUCCCGGUUCACAGGGCCUAAUCUGAAAAAACAUUUGUUCCAUAAUAACUUCCUACUAAGGCUUGCAUGCAUUUAAUUACAAGUAGUAACCUCCUCUAAUUAUUCUUCACCCUUCUAUUUCUCCUUUCUUUUACCUCGCUGAAGCAACCUACUGCAUGCAAGUGGGGUGGAAAUCCAAAGCGAGAAAUAAAACUGACCUAUGCAUGCCCAUCUAGCUCGUGGGAGAAUGCGUUAGGAUGAGUCUGUUAGCAUUCCUAUAUUAAAUAGGGAGUACAUCUGGCUGAAGAGGCAAGCGAUGGGGAGAGUUUUAGUAUCCAAUCAAAUACAACCUUGGUCGCGAUGCAAAACUAAGUGAGCCCAAUGAACCGGGACGGAGGGAGUAUAUGAAUGACAUAUGAGCUGUGUUAUGUAAACAUCACUGUACAUUGUUUGUUGUUGUGUUUUGAAUUAAUGUCCAAAA